rnacentral:rRNA from 1 species
AGAGUUUGAUCCUGGCUCAGGAUGAACGCUGGCGGUAUGCUUAACACAUGCAAGUCGAACGAAAGUUUUUAACUUUAGUGGCGAACGGGUGCGUAAUACGUGAGAAUCUGCCCUUAGGAGGAGGAUAACUGCUGGAAACGGCUGCUAACACUCCAUAUGUCGAGAGAUGAAAUAAUUUAUUGCCUAAGGAUGAGCUCGCGCCUGAUUAGCUAGUUGGUGAGGUAAUGGCUCACCAAGGCCACGAUCAGUAGCUGGUUUGAGAGAACGAUCAGCCACACUGGGACUGAGACACGGCCCAGACUCCUCCGGGAGGCAGCAGUGAGGAAUUUUCCGCAAUGGGCGAAAGCCUGACGGAGCAAUACCGCGUGAGGGAUGAAGGAUUUUGGUCUGUAAACCUCUUUUCUCAAGAAAGAAGUUCUGACGGUACUUGAGGAAUAAGCAUCGGCUAACUCCGUGCCAGCAGCCGCGGUAAUACGGGGGAUGCAAGCGUUAUCCGGAAUCAUUGGGCGUAAAGCGCCUGUAGGUUGUUUAAUAAGUCUGUUGUUAAAGACUAGGGCUUAACCCUAGAAAAGCAAUGGAAACUACUAGACUAGAGUAUGGCAGGGGUAGAGGGAAUUUCUAGUGUAGCGGUGAAAUGCGUAGAUAUUAGAAAGAACACCGGUGGCGAAAGCGCUCUACUGGACCAUUACUGACACUCAGAGGCGAAAGCUAGGGUAGCAAAAGGGAUUAGAUACCCCUGUAGUCCUAGCCGUAAACGAUGGAUACUAGAUGUUGUGCAUAAUGUACAGUAUCGUAGCUAACGCGUUAAGUAUCCCGCCUGGGGAGUACGCUCGCAAGGGUGAAACUCAAAGGAAUUGACGGGGGCCCGCACAAGCGGUGGAGCAUGUGGUUUAAUUCGAUGCAAC